AUAAAGAGGAUAUAAAUAUGUGUAGCAUUGAAUGUCCUGCGCAGAAACUACAUAAGAAAAUUCAUGUUUCUGAUAUUACAGAGUAAAAUUGUUAAUUCAUAAAAAAAAUAAUUCUUCAUUUCCAAAAUCAAAUUUUAAAAAAAUCCAAGUCCACUUAAACUUAAUACUUAGGUUUGGAAAGAUGCAAACACAAUUUGAUUUAAAUUUAGAAGCAAAUGAAUGCUUAGCAGAAAAGAUUCAAGCAUUCAAAGCAGACGAGAAAAAUAUGAAGGAAAUAAAUAAGUUUAUAGAUGGAGUCCUAUUAGAUGCGGAGCAUCAAGUUCAAAAACAUCAAAUAGAAGAGUGUGAAAAGAAUGGUAAUAAUAUUCAUCGUAGGAUUGUUGCACGAGCAAGAGGAUUUUGUUUGCGUGUAAUUGAAACCAUUUCAAACUGUGCAGCAUCAACGAGCAUAUCUCAUUUACCUCUUAGAAAAUCUUAAUGAUUUUAUAAAUUUAAGAUAUUUAAUUUUAUUUAUUGAUUAGAUAUUUAAAUCUACUUUAACGUAUUUUAAUUGACAAUCUAUACCACUCGGUGGUCCUCAAUGUAGUUAAAUGUAAAAAUACAUUAUAAAAAUACAUAUAUGUAAUGUAAUAAAAAUAAGCAUUAAAUUAGUAGAUUAAAGUAUCACGAUCACCUGAUUAUUUGGUUUGUCUGAAAAAUACAUUAAAAAUUUUGUUAGGUUUAAAACUA